rnacentral:misc_RNA from 1 species
GAUGAAGAACGCAGCGAAAUGCGAUAAGUAAUGUGAAUUGCAAAAUUCAGUGAAUCAUCGAAUCUUUGAACGCACCUUGCGCCCUUUGGCUAUUCCGAAGGGCAUGCCUGUUUGAGUAUCAUGAACACCUCAACUCUCAUGGCUUGCCAUGAUGAGCUUGGACUAUGGGGGUCUUGCUGGCCUGUGGUCGGCUCCUCUCAAAUGAAUCAGCUUGCCGGUGUUUGGUGGCGUCACAGGUGUGAUAACUAUCUACGCUUGUGGUGUUUUCCACCAGGUAACCUUCAGCAAUGGAGGUUCGCUGGGGCUCAUAAAAGUCUCUCCUCGGUGAGGACAGCUCUUUUUGAACGUUUGAUCUCAAAUCAGGUAGGACUACCCGCUGAACUUAAGCAUAUCAAUAAGCGGAGGA